rnacentral:rRNA from 1 species
AUUGAACGCUGGCGGCAGGCUUAACACAUGCAAGUCGAGCGGAGAGAAGUAGCUUGCUACUGAUCUUAGCGGCGGACGGGUGAGUAAUGCUUAGGAAUCUGCCUAUUAGUGGGGGACAACAUUUCGAAAGGGAUGCUAAUACCGCAUACGUCCUACGGGAGAAAGCAGGGGAUCUUCGGACCUUGCGCUAAUAGAUGAGCCUAAGUCGGAUUAGCUAGUUGGUGGGGUAAAGGCCUACCAAGGCGACGGUAUGUAGCGGGUCUGGGAGGAUGAUCCGCCACACUGGGACUGAGACACGACCCAGAGUCCUACGGGAGGCAGCAGUGGGGAAUAUUGGACAAUGGGCGCAAGCCUGAUCCAGCCAUGCCGCGUGUGUGAAGAAGGCCUUAUGGUUGUAAAGCACUUUAAGCGAGGAGGAGGCUACUUUAGUUAAUACCUAGAGAUAGUGGACGUUACUCGCAGAAUAAGCACCGGCUAACUCUGUGCCAGCCGCCGCAGUAAGAC